GCGGUUGUGGCGUAGUGGUUUAUCGCAUCGGCUUGUGGAGCCGACAUUCGUGGGUUCAAAUCCCAUCAGCCGCCCCA
rnacentral:tRNA from 1 species